AGUAAAAGUCGUAACAAGGUCUCCGUAGGUGAACCUGCGGAGGGAUCAUUACAAGUGACCCCGGUCUAACCACCGGGAUGUUCAUAACCCUUUGUUGUCCGACUCUGUUGCCUCCGGGGCGACCCUGCCUUCGGGCGGGGGCUCCGGGUGGACACUUCAAACUCUUGCGUAACUUUGCAGUCUGAGUAAACUUAAUUAAUAAAUUAAAACUUUUAACAACGGAUCUCUUGGUUCUGGCAUCGAUGAAGAACGCAGCGAAAUGCGAUAAGUAAUGUGAAUUGCAGAAUUCAGUGAAUCAUUGAAUCUUUGAACGCACAUUGCGCCCCCUGGUAUUCCGGGGGGCAUGCCUGUUCGAGCGUCAUUUCACCACUCAAGCCUCGCUUGGUAUUGGGCAACGCGGUCCGCCGCGUGCCUCAAAUCGACCGGCUGGGUCUUCUGUCCCCUAAGCGUUGUGGAAACUAUUCGCUAAAGGGUGUUCGGGAGGCUACGCCGUAAAACAACCCCAUUUCUAAGGUUGACCUCGGAUCAGGUAGGGAUACCCGCUGAACUUAAGCAUAUCAAUAAGCGGAGGAAAAGAAACCAACAGGGAUUGCCCCAGUAACG
rnacentral:rRNA from 1 species